UUUUUUAUUUUUAUAUGUAAAAUAUAGUCUGCCCACUGAUUUUUUUAAAGGGCCGCGGUAUUCUGACCGUGCAAAGGUAGCAUAAUCAUUAGCUUCUUAAUUGGGAGAUGGAAUGAAUGGCUGAACAAUUCUAUUCUGUUAAGUAUAUAAAAUUUUAAAAUUUAAUUAAUAGUGAAAAUUCUUUUUUGUACUUAAAAGACGAUAAGACCCUAUAGAUCUUUAUUUUUUUUUACACUAUAUAUUUUGGWUGUUUUAUUUAGUGUAAAAAAAAAUUUUGUUGGGGUAACAAAAGAAUAAUCUAAAUUUCUUGUUUAUUAACCAUAUUUUUGAUAUAAAAAGUUACCUUAGGGAUAACAGCGUAAUAAUUUUUAAGAGUUCUUAUCAAUAAAAUAUCUUGCGACCUCGAUGUUGAAUUAAUUAUCUAGCUUGGGGUAGAUUUUAAGUUAGAAGGUCUGUUCGACCUUUAUUAUUUACA
rnacentral:rRNA from 1 species